AGUAGCGAGUGACAGACUGCAGUGGCUGGCUUAACCUCCAAACAAAGCACAAGUCUAUGGCUCUCUUGGGUGGGCUGCUGAAGGAAGGAGUUCAUGCAGGUUCUUUUACUGUGUCAGCACGCUGAGCUGCGCUAUGGUACUUGGCCGCUGAAGGGGCUGCAUUAUUAACCAUUUGGUACUGAGGACAAAAGAACUAAUCAAAUGAAUCCUGGUACCCUAGGACAGGAGGGGUCUACUGGAAGAGGAUGGGGAACUCACUAUCAGUACAACUGGGAUCUCUGGAAAUGGGCUGGUUUGACCAAAGAGCUUCUGUGUCAGCAACCUGUUCUUUUCAGCAGAGCAUCCACUUGAAAGUGCUUUAUAGCCAGUAGGUAAGUAUCAACACUUUCCGAUGAAGGCAAGCCUUGCCAUUCCCAUUUUACAGAUAAGGAAGCAGAGACAGACUUUAGAGACAAAGUUCUAGAAGUAGCCUAUUAUUUUGACUGCCAAUCUUUAGAUACCGACUGCUUGAUUUUCACAGGUACCAAAAAUCCAUAGCUCCCACUGAAGGUCAAUUUGAGCUCUGGGUGCUCGGCACCUAUGAAAAUCAGGCUAUAGCUGUCUAAAGAUAGACAUCCAAAAUCAGAGCUCACUUCUGAAAGUUUGUACAUAAGUGACUAGCCAAAGGCCACAUGAUAAGUUAGUGGCAGAAUCAAGAGUUGAACCUAGAAGGUCUGACACUCAACAUCACGCUAUAAGCACCAGAUGACCCUGGUAUAAUGUAUAAAGGCAGCGACACAACACAAGGAAUUCCCACAGAUUUGAACUACUUGUCAAUUAUGCUGUGAAAGAAAAUAUCUUCUUGUAAGGAGAUUUAUCUUAAUUUUGAACAGAAAUCUAUUUGGUAAGAAAUGGCCUUCUGUUCAUGGUUUAACACUUUUAUUAGAAUUGCACAUCCAUUUAGACUCAGAAAGGCAUUUCUUCUUUCCCCACUUCCAUUGCUGAAACCACAGGCUUCCACUGAAUUAUUCAUUCUGAUGUUUCUCAGGCACUGAAAUACCUGGGCAUCAGAUACUCUCACAUGUA